rnacentral:rRNA from 1 species
UGGACCCUACGGGGGGCAGCAGUAGGGAAUCUUCGGCAAUGGACGAAAGUCUGACCGAGCAACGCCGCGUGAGUGAAGAAGGUUUUCGAAUCGUAAAACUCUGUUGGUAGAGAAGAACGUUGGUGAGAGUGGAAAGCUCAUCAAGUGACGGUAACUACCCAGAAAGGGACGGCUAACUACGUGCCAGCAGCCGCGGUAAUACGUAGGAUGCGAGCGUUAUCCGGAUUUAUUGGGUUUAAAGGGUGCGUAGGCGGAUCGUUAAGUCAGUGGUCAAAUUGAGGGGCUCAACCCCUUCCCGACAUUGG